AAGUCCGGUCAUGUGAUAAGUUUGAACAUGAACAAAUUUGGGCACUGCACAGUGACCAUGAUAAGUUCCCCAAUCUCUAUCUCUGGAUAGCCGAAAUCAAAGCUGGAGCCACUCAGAUUGCAUUUGAUAUAGCUAGAGGUUUGCCCUGAACCCGAACAGGAGAAGCAAUGGUUGGAGCAGGAUACACCAUGAUCAGUUGUGGCAUCUUUAAAAUUGGAAACUGCAAAUCCAUGUGCGAUUCAAAUCGGCAAAUUAUUUUUUUUCCCAAAGGUAGGUGAGAUUUGAGCCAUCUGCAAGAACUGGUUCACCUGAUUGGGCUCCUCCCACAAUCAGUAGCUGUGUCUUGAGUAUGCCAUUGGCAAGAUCAUCAGGUGCUCUGAAGGCAGCACACUGUUUUCUCCUCUGAGUAAAGUAGAUGACUAGAUGGACAUAGCUUGUGUUCAAGCCUCACAUUGGGAAGGAGAUACUGGAGAUACCUGAGAAAGAGAACCUCAGGUUUUCGCAGCAGAUACCUUCGUUCUCUCUGGCAAAAGAAAAGGGU
rnacentral:sRNA from 1 species